AAUUUUAAAUCAAAGAUAUUGAUCUUGUUUUAUAUAGUAUAAAGAAUUUUCUAUCAAAAUUUCACGUGAUUUGGAUAUUUCUACACCGUUAAACUUGCAAACGGCUCACUACGGCCAUGAAAUUUGUUGAUUUUGAGCCCAUUCAAUCACUAGGCAAACGAUAUCGAAAAAUAAUAAAAUUUAUUUUCUAGGUACUCCAAAUACUCUAGAUCAAGUUUAACGGAGCCGAUCGACGAUUCGAAAGUCGCAACAUCGAAAACGAGCUGGAAGCACGGAAGGCUCCGUACUUCCGAUAACAUAGUAGCCUCACUAUAUAUAUAUAUUCUCGAGCUUUUCGAAUCUAAUUCGAACGAGCCGAGUAAUACUCAAGCUCGGCUUGAAAUAAAUUUCGAGUCUUUUAUUUUGUUUAAGCUCGACUUAUUUAAUUUCGAGUCGAACUCGAGCGAGCCGAAUAUCGAGCCGAACAUGAGUCAAACACGAGCCGGCUCGGUCGUUUGCCAGCCCUAC
rnacentral:lncRNA from 1 species